UUGUACAUCCUCAACGCUGAACAUGACCAAUCUCAUCUUAUCUCGGAAGCUAAGCAGGGUCGGGCCUGGUUAGUACUUGCUUGGGAGCCCAGAGCAGAGGUGAUUUCUGAG
rnacentral:rRNA from 1 species